GGGAGUAUAGCUCAGUGGUAGAGCAUUCGACUGAAGAUCGAGAGAUCCUGGUUCAAACCCGGGUGUCUCUU